rnacentral:misc_RNA from 1 species
AUCCUGAUGCUCUUCAUUUCUGCUCCUCUUUCUACUAUAUAUAGGAUGGAUCCCACACUUAAUUAUCUCCACGCUACCUAUGGAGUGAAAUGAGACCUCAACGAAACACUUUUCAUCAACAGAUUUGAAUUUUUUAAAAUCGAGCCAAAACCACAUGUGUUCUGAUGAAAUGUUAAAUCGAUCGAGUGAUGAAUUUCUGGGAAAGAAAUCAUAGCUAUGCCUAUGUCCAGAUUCGUCUAUGAAAUCCACUCUACAUGUAAGAGAUUGCUGAACACAAUUAUCGGGAUGAAAAAUAGCGCAGAAAGAGAAUGCAAUUAAGUGACGAAGGUCAAGU